UUGAGCUUCAUUUUUUUUUCAAAAUACUGCAACAUGAGUUUUAAAUUAUGACACAGUACAAUACUUGUUUCAAUAUUUACAUGUAAAUAAAAUAAUCCUAAUUACUUGUAAAAGUAAGGUUAUAAAUUUAAGAAUACAGAACUCUCUUUUAAAACCAAAGUGGCAUUAGACUAAUUUUAAAAUUCCCGCUAAAAGGAAAAAGGUAAAUCUGGCAACAGUGCCGUCGUCCCUUUGCUGGGAGAGAUUAAAUAUCCAGCACGCAACCGCACUGUUGCCAGAUUUACUUCUUUUCUUUUAGCGGGAAUUUUAAAAUAUCUAAUGUCAGUUGGUUUAAAAUUUGACAGUUGUAUUUUUUUGAUUCCGAAUCUUAACCUUACUUUACAGGUGAUUUGAUUAUGUACAAAAAAUGUACAAUGUAAAUAAAUUGAACCAAGUAAUGUACUAAAAUAUGCUAUGUUAUAAUUUAAAACUCGUUAUGUUAGUCUUUUGAAAAAAAUUAAACUCAAAAGAGAUAUACUUGUUUACAGUGCAAAUUAAUGGCAAUAAUAGGGAUUUACGAUUUAAUUUGCAGGAAAAACAUGGGCAACCUACCCAGUUGGUAAAAUUUCAAUUCAAAAACUCUUUAGAUUUUACUGUGUGUAUGUCACAGGAAGAGAAACAAAAUAAUAUUCAGUCACAGGAGUACAAGAACAUGAAACAUCUUAUUAUGUAUGUAUGCCAUUCUCAAACAAUUAUUGUACAAAACAAGAUAGAGAAGAGCUUUAAAAUCCCAAGGAUCCUGCGAAAAGAAAAGUGAAAAUGUUGUCUCAAUUAAUGUAGUAUAGAUAGACAUUUUUCUUUAUUUUAGUAUUAAAUAAUUAUUUAGAAUAUUAAUAGGUAUUAGUUUUAAUAGUAUUAAUAUGUACUGUAUGAAUAAUUCCCAUCAUAUAUCUUCUGGCUAAAGUUACAAAAUAAAUAAAAAUGAAAAAACAUUUAAGUGGUGUAGCACCUUUACUUUACCUGGGGAUGAGGUGAGUUAUUAGGUAAAUUCUAUUUUCUUACAUAAUAUAGGUACAUAUAUAAUAUACUUAAAAAUUAAUGGUGGUAUUAUUGUGGUUUAUAUUGAAAGCCAAAGCAAGUAAGAAUAAGAAGAUAUAGGUAGCAGUAUAAGAAGACGUGGCUACAGGCGAAGCGUGUUCAUGAAUGUGUUAAUAAUAAUAAUUUUAUAUCUAUUUUGUUAAUACAUUUUACUAUUAAAGACAAUUAUUAAAAUAUGCCAAAAACGCCCACAAAGUGGCUUUAAGUUUUAUUACACAGUAUGUGGACUUCAACUAGGAAGAUUAUGUUAAGUAUGAGCAGAAUAAAGGCUAACAAUUUUGA
rnacentral:lncRNA from 1 species